rnacentral:rRNA from 1 species
UAGGGAAUAUUGCACAAUGGAGGAAACUCUGAUGCAGCGACGCCGCGUGAGUGAUGAAGGACUUCGGUUCGUAAAGCUCUGUUGUAAGGGAAAAAGCAAGUGAUUGUACCUUGCGAGAAAGGGUCGGCUAACUUCGUGCCAGCAGCCGCGGUAAGACGAGGGACCCUAGCGUUGUUCGGAAUCAUUGGGCGUAAAGCGGGUGUAGGUGGCUUUGUAAGUCAGGUGUGAAAGCCCAGGGCUCAACCCUGGAAGUGCACUUGAUACUGCGAAGCUUGAGUGCUGGAGAGGUUACUAGAAUUCCUGGUGUAGUGGUGAAAUACGUAGAUAUCAGGAGGAAUACCGGUGGCGAAGGCGGGUAACUGGCCAGACACUGACACUCAGACCCGAAAGCGUGGGGAUCAAACAGG